rnacentral:rRNA from 1 species
UGGGGAAUUUUUCGCAAUGGGGGAAACCCUGACGAAGCAACGCCGCGUGGAGGAUGACGGCCUUCGGGUUGUAAACCUCUUUCAAUAGGGACGAAGCGCAAGUGACGGUACCUAUAGAAGAAGCACCGGCCAACUACGUGCCAGCAGCCGCGGUAAUACGUAGGGUGCGAGCGUUGUCCGGAAUUACUGGGCGUAAAGAGCUCGUAGGUGGUUUGUCGCGUUGUUCGUGAAAACCGGGGGCUUAACCCUCGGCGUGCGGGCGAUACGGGCAGACUGGAGUACUGCAGGGGAGACUGGAAUUCCUGGUGUAGCGGUGGAAUGCGCAGAUAUCAGGAGGAACACCGGUGGCGAAGGCGGGUCUCUGGGCAGUAACUGACGCUGAGGAGCGAAAGCGUGGGGAGCGAACAGGAUUAGAUACCCUGGUAGUCCACGCUGUAAACGGUGGGUACUAGGUGUGGGUUUCCUUCCUUGGGAUCCGUGCCGUAGCUAACGCAUUAAGUACCCCGCCUGGGGAGUACGGCCGCAAGGCUA